GCAGCUAGUGUUUAGCAGCUAGCGUUAGCGACAUAGCUACCAUUUGAAGAUGUGUGUGUUUUUCUCUGUUAGCCGUGUGCUGUGUCUACUGGCGCUGACCAUGGCCAUCCUCUCCUCUACAUUGGAAGUGCGUUCCCAGGGAAUGAGGCCUCUAAAUUGCUGUUUGAAGACAUCCAAAAAACGUCCAGCAGAACCAAUCACACUGUGUCUUAUUCAGAUGCCUCGUGGGAAAUGUAACCUCAAAGCAUACAUUUUCGCCAGUGGGGAGCAGUGGAAGUGCAUCAACCCCAAAGCCAGAUGGCUCUCUGCUGAGCUAGCCUCACUGGAACAGAGAGGAAUACAGUGUGACCCACUGAUUAAAUAACCAUCAGACCAUGAUCCUAGAUCAUCAUCAUCGUCAGCAGCAGGUUCAGCAGCCUCUCUCAACCAGGAACUACAGAACUAAGAUCUCUCUCAAGCAGGAACUACAGAACUAAGAUCUCUCUCAACCAGGAACUACAGAACUAAGAUCUCUCUCAAGCAGGAACUACAGAACUAAGAUCUCUCUCAAGCAGGAACUACAGAACUAAGAUCUCUCUCAAGCAGGAACUACAGAACUAAGAUCUCUCUCAACCAGGAACUACAGAACUAAGAUCUCUCUCAAGCAGGAACUACAGAACUAAGAUCUCUCUCAAGCAGGAACUACAGAACUAAGAUCUCUCUCAAGCAGGAACUACAGAACUAAGAUCUCUCUCAAGCAGGAACUACAGAACUAAGAUAAUAAGAAGACAGUGAAAAUGAAGAUUAUGAUUUGUGUGAUUUAAGUAUUUCAAGCUCUCUUUAUCAGAUUAUUUAUGUAUUUAUUUAUUUAUUUAUUUCAACCUCAUCCCGGCAUUAAUUUAUUGUACUCAAUUCAUUAAGGUGUUUUAAAGGCAUUUGUAUUUAUUUAUUUCCUCUGUCCUUUUUUUAUGCUGUGAUAAUAACAUAACUUUGUUUGUAUAAAGUCUUUCAUUCUCAAAGUGCUUUACAGUGAUGCAAAAUAAAGAAUGGGAGACCUAUCUGAGUAUCUCCAUAGUAACGAGACCCUGUAAUGGCUGCAUAAAGGUUAAAGGUUGUGACACUCAAUCGUGUCACUGGGCUGUGGUCAUGGUGAUGACACUGCCCAUCCGUUCUACCAACGAAGCCAUUCCCUCGGUCCCUGACCAUAUCCUCUUCCACUAGUCGCUACUCCUUGUCCUUGUCCUUAACCCCUACUGCUAGCUACCCCCUAAACUCACAGAUGCAGCUGUUUCAGUGAACCUGUAUUUAUUUGGACAACAGAUAAACAAAUAAAAUACUAUUGACUGAAAUGGUCAUGAUCAUAAUAGCAUAUUGUUCCCAUGUCAGUCAGUCAGUCACAUGACCCAGUCUUCCUCUGGCCUCUCUCCUCUUCUCUUAGUGUGACUGUGAACUGGCUAACAUGGAAGGUACUGGAAUGAGUAAUAAAAGCAUGACUACCGGA